UCUCCGGUCGUCUAAUGGCAGGACGCGGGCUUUUGGUGCCCGUUAUCGAGGUUCGAGUCCUCGCCGGAGAACCC
rnacentral:tRNA from 1 species